CUUCCUCUACCUUUAUCCAGUCACUCUGUGGCCAGUUGAGUUGUCUGGCAUUGAAAGAGUAUACAGCAUAAUGGCUCUCACCUCUCUCAUCCAAGACCAUUAUCCUACAUGAGGCUUGUGAUAGCUGUAAAA